rnacentral:rRNA from 1 species
UACGUAGGGUGCGAGCGUUGUCCGGAAUUAUUGGGCGUAAAGAGCUUGUAGGCGGUUUGUCGCGUCUGCUGUGAAAACUCGGGGCUUAACCCCGGGCCUGCAGUGGGUACGGGCAGACUAGAGUGCGGUAGGGGAGACUGGAAUUCCUGGUGUAGCGGUGAAAUGCGCAGAUAUCAGGAGGAACACCGAUGGCGAAGGCAGAUCUCUGGGCCGUAACUGACGCUGAGGAGCGAAGCGUGGGGAGCGAACAGG